ACUUAUUCUCAGGGCGGGGCGUAAUUCCCCACCGGCGGUAAACCAGCGAUAUACUGAUGUAUAUCCGUUGGAAGCCCGCGAGCGCUCAGGUUGCCCGUGCAGCCUGAGGUCAGCAGAUCCGGUGAAAUUCCGGAGCCGACGGUUAUAGUCCGGAUGGGAGAGAUUAACG
rnacentral:ncRNA from 2 species